rnacentral:rRNA from 1 species
AUACGUAGGUGACAAGCGUUAUCCGGAUUUACUGGGCGUAAAGGGCGUGUAGGCGGUCUUGCAAGUCAGAAGUGAAAUUCCUGAGCUCAACUCGGGCGCUGCUUCUGAAACUGCAGGACUUGAGUGCUGGAGGGGAUAGCGGAAUUCCUAGUGGAGCGGUAAAAUGCGCAGAUAUUAGGAAGAACACCGGUGGCGAAGGCGGCUAUCUGGACAGUAACUGACGCUGAGGCGCGAAAGCGUGGGGAGCAAACAGGAUUAGAUACCCUGGUAGUCCACGCUGUAAACGAUGAAUGCUAGGUGUAAGAGGUAUCGACCCCUUUUGUGCCGGAGUUAACACAAUAAGCAUUCCGCCUGGGGAGUACGGCCGCAAGGUUGAAACUCAAAUGAAUUGGCGGGG